rnacentral:tRNA from 1 species
UAAGAGUUAGUUUAAGUGUGUUAGAAUUGUUGACUGUUAAUCAAAAGGUUUACUCUUAA